ACAACUUUUAACAACAGAUCUCUUAGUUCUAGCAUUAAUAAAGAACGCAGCGAAAUGCGAUAAGUAGUGUAAAUUAUAGAAUUUAGUAAAUUAUUAAAUCUUUAAACGCAUAUUGCGCCCCUUAGUAUUCUAUAGGGCAUGCCUGUUUAAGCGUUAUUUGUACCCUUAAGCUCUGCUUAGUGUUAGGUGUUUGUUCUACUUAGGACUUGCCUUAAAACAAUUAGUAGCUAGCACAUUAGCCUAGAGCGCAGCACAUUUUGCGCCUCUUGUUAUAGUUGUUAGCAUCUAUUAAGACACUUUUUAAGCUCUUAACCUUAGAUUAGGUAGGGAUACCCGCUAAACUUAAGCAUAUUAAUAAGCGGAGGAAAAGAAACUAAUAGGGAUUGCCCUAGUAACGGCAAGUAAAGCGGCAACAGCUUAAAUUUAAAAUCUAGCUCUUUUAGGGUCUAAGUUGUAAUUUGCAGAGGGCGCUUUAGCGUUAGUAGCAGUCUAAGUUCCUUAGAACAGGACGUCACAGAGGGUAAGAAUCCUGUACGUAGUUACUAGCCUUCGCUGUGUAAAGCCCCUUUAACAAGUUAAGUUAUUUAGGAAUGUAGCUCUAAAUAGGAGGUAAAUUUCUUCUAAAGCUAAAUACUAGCUAGAGACUAAUAGCGCAUAAGUAGAGUAAUUAAAAGAUAAAAAGCACUUUAGAAAGAGAGUUAAAUAGCACGUAAAAUUAUUAAAAGGGAAGCGCUUGCAGCUAGACUUGCCUAUAGUUACUUAUCUAGGCUUUUGUCUAGUGCACUCUUCUAUAGGCAGGCUAGUAUUAGUUUAGGCAGUUAGAUAAAGGUCUCUAUUACGUACCUCCCUUUAGGGAGGCCUUAUAGGGGAGACAACAUGCAACUAGCCUAGACUAAGGUCCGCGUAUCUGCUAGGAUGCUAGCGUAAUAGCUGUAAGUGGCCUAUCUUAAAACACAGACUAAGGAGUCUAACAUCUAUGCGAGUGUUUAGGUGUUAAGCCUAGACGCGUAAUAAAAGUAAAUAGAGGUGGGACCCCUUUUAGGGUGCACUAUUAACUAAUCCUAAUAUCUUUAGAAGGAUUUAAGUAAGAGCAUAGCUAUUAGGACCUAAAAGAUAGUGAACUAUGCUUAAAUAGGGUAAAGCUAGAGGAAACUCUAGUAGAGGCUCGCAGUGGUUCUAACGUGCAAAUCAAUCGUUAAAUUUAGGUAUAGGGGCGAAAGACUAAUCAAACUAUCUAGUAGCUAGUUCCUACUAAAGUUUCCCUUAGGAUAGCAGUAACGUAUUUAGUUUUAUAAGGUAAAGCGAAUAAUUAGAGGCCUAGGGGUUAAAAUAACCUUUACCUAUUCUUAAACUUUAAAUAUAUAAGAAGUCCUUGUUACUUAAUUAAACGUAGAUACUUAAAUAUACUAUUACUAGUAGGCCAUUUUUAGUAAGUAGAACUAGCGAUAUAGGAUAAACUAAACAUAGGGUUAAGGUGCUAGAAUGCACGCUUAUUAGACACUACAAAAGGUGUUAGUUUAUCUAGAUAGUAGGACAGUAGCUAUAGAAGUUAGAAUCUGCUAAGGAGUGUGUAAUAACUUACCUGCUAAAUAAACUAGCCCUAAAAAUAGAUGGCGCUUAAGCGUGUUACCUAUACCCCGCCGCUAGGGCAAGAUUUAAGCCCUAGCGAGUAGGUAGGCGUAGAGGCUCGUGACAAAGCCUUAGGGGUAACCCUAGGUAGAACGGCCUCUAGUGCAGAUCUUAGUAGUAGUAGCAAAUACUUAAAUAAGAACUUUAAGGACUAAAGUAGGGAAAGGUUCUGUGUAAACAGCAGUUAGACACAGGUUAGUUAAUCCUAAGAGAUAGGGUAAUUCUAUUUUAAUGUUGGCGCUUGCGCCGCGUCCUUAAAAGGGAAGCUAGUUAAUAUUCUAGCACCUAGAUGUAGAUUCUCCGCAGCAACGCAACUAAGAGCAGAGACCUUAGCGGGAGCCCUAAGAAGAGUUCUCUUUUCUUCUUAACAGUCUGUCACCCUAAAAUUAGUUUGUCUAGAGCUAGGGUUUAAUAGCUAGAAAAGCGCUGCACUUUUAUAGUAUUUAGUGCGCUCCUAACAAGCCUUAAAAAUCUGCUUAAAGAAAUAGUUUUUACGCUAGGUCGUACUUAUAACUACAGCAGGUCUCUAAGGUAAAAAGCCUCUAGUUAAUAGAACAAUAUAGAUAAGGGAAGUUAGCAAAAUAGAUCUAUAACUUUAGGAAAAGGAUUAGCUCUAAGGGUUAGGUACGUUAGGCCUUAGGGAGAAGCCUCUAGCGCAGAAGGGCACUAACUGCAAGGUAGGCGCCUCUUAGCGCUAGGGUGCAGACACCCUUAGCAGGUUUUGGCUGUCUAGCGUACGUUUAACAACUAACUUAGAACUAGUAUAGAUAAGAGGAAUCUAACUAUCUAAUUAAAAUAUAGCAUUGUAAUAGCUAGAAAGUAGUGUUAACGUAAUGUGAUUUCUGCCUAGUACUCUAAAUAUUAAAGCAAAGAGAUUUGACUAAGCGCGGGUAAAUAGCAGGAGUAACUAUAACUCUCUUAAGGUAGCUAAAUGCCUUGUUAUCUAAUUAGUAACGCGCAUAAAUAGAUUAACAAGAUUCCUACUAUCCCUAUCUACUAUCUAGCGAAACUACAGCUAAGGGAACAGGCUUGGCUAAAUUAGCAGGGAAAGAAGACCCUAUUAAGCUUAACUCUAGUUUAACAUUAUAAAAAGAUAUAGGGGGUGUAGAAUAGGUAGGAGCUUUAGCGCUAGUAAAAUACUACUACCCUUAUCGUUUUUUUACUUAUUCAAUAAAGCAGAGCUAGGCCUCACCGCCUAACUUCUAGCGUUUAAGGUCCUUUAUAGGCUAAUCUAGGUUAAAGACAUUGUUAGGUAGGGAGUUUAGCUAGGGUAGCACAUCUAUUAAACUAUAACGCAGGUGUCCUAAGGGGGACUUAUAGAGAAUAGAAAUCUCUAGUAGAGCAAAAGGGUAAAAGUCCCCUUAAUUUUAAUUUUUAGUGUAAAUACAAACUAUAAAAGUGUAGCCUAUUAAUCCUUUAGUCCCUUAAAAUUUAAGGCUAGAGGUGCUAGAAAAGUUACCACAGGGAUAACUAGCUUGUGGCAGCCAAGCGUUUAUAGCGACGUUGCUUUUUAAUCCUUUAAUAUUAGCUCUUCCUAUUAUACCAAAGUAGAAUUUAGUAAGCGUUAGAUUGUUCACCUGACUAAUAGGGAACGUAAGCUAGGUUUAGACCGUCGUAAGAUAGGUUAGUUUUACCCUACUAAUAACCUUGCCCUAAUAGUAAUACCGCUUAGUACAAGAGGAACCGCAGUUUUAGAUAAUUGGUUUUUGCGGCUGUCUAACUAGGCAUUACCGCGAAGCUACUAUCUGCUAGAUUAUAGCUAAACGCCUCUAAGUCAGAAUCCAUACUAGAAUAGGGUAAUUUCCGCCUGCACUAGUUAGAUACAAAUAGGCCUUUGGCCUAGAACCUUACUAGAUUAGCGUUAGCAGCCCUAUUAAAGUUAGAGUUAUUAGCUAGUAUAUUGCAAUUGUAUAGUGCGCAGGAU
rnacentral:rRNA from 2 species